GAAGAGAAGAGGAUGUGCACCUCCAGCUCCUCCCUGAACCCCAGCAGCGUUAACCCUGCGUUGGGACACGUUCGUGGCUUCAACCGGGAACUGCGCAUCAGGACACAGACUUCUGAUCCCAGGAUCCAGGAGAUCCAGUCUAGUCUGGACAAGUAAGGAACAUCCAUGGGGCCAGCCCCCAGCGUCACCCACUGUCCCCAUAAUCCCUCCUGGACUUGUGACACCAAAACGGAAGUGUUGGGGGAUACUGGGACUGGGACAGCCCCUGGCAGGGGAGGAGUUUGGGAUGCGGGGAGCGCUUCCCAGGUCCUGCCCCUCAGUGACCACCGGAGUGCCUCGGCCGUGGGGUGAACCGGGUCCCGGAGGGUCCCUGCACAGCUCUACAAAUGGGAAUCCAGGGCGGGACACCGACGUCCCCCGCCCUCCGCAGCAUUUUUCCGCGGGAAGCUCCGGUUUUAAAGCACCGGGAGAGGCGGGCGGGACCCCUGGCGAGUCCCCCCCGCACCGUGGCCACAAGCGCAGCGAGUUUCCCAGUCCUCAUCCUCCUCCCCAGGCUGGCCGGGGCCGGGGGUUGAGUGCGUGUGCUCCCCAAAAUCCUUCUCCCUCCUUUCAGUUUCGAUUUUAUCCCGCCUUUUUUUUUUUUCCCUGCUUUUCCCUAUUUGCGCCGGGGCAGCCCCAUCACGUGAGGCCGGGCCCGGCUGGACGCGGCUGCGGGGCCGCGCCGGUGGCGGCGGGGCCGGACACGCAUCCCCGGGCCCGACCUUUGCCCCACAUCCCUUCCCCAAAUUGGGGGCUGGAUUGGGGACAGGGGGGUCGGUUUGCAGGAGGUGGCGCUCGCUCGCUCUCGCUGCCCCCGGAUUUUUUUUCCCUGCGGUUGCUCGGGAAGGUGGAGCCUGGGACCACCCCCGCGGGCAGGUGCCGGAUGGCGGCGGGGACCCUCUGCCCUUCCGACUCCUUGCAGGAAUUCCCGUACGCCCCCCAAAACAGCCCCCCGGCCGGGGGGGUGCCCCCGGCCACCGACCUGGUGCUGGGGGCCACGGCCGGGUGCUUGGCCUGCUUCCUCACCAACCCGCUGGAGGUGGUAAAGACGCGGCUGCAGCUGCAGGGCGAGCUGCAGCCCCCGGGCUCGUACCCCCGGCCGUACCGCGGGGUGCUGCGGGCGGCCGUGGCCGUGUGCCGGGCGGACGGGCUGCGGGGGCUGCAGAAGGGGCUGGCGGCCGGGCUGCUCUACCAGGGGCUCAUGAACGGCGUCCGCUUCUACUGCUAUUCGCACGCCGAGGACGCCGGCUGGACCGGGUAUCCCGGCGGGACCGUGGCCGCCGGGGCCGUGGCCGGGGCGGUGGGAGCCAUCGUGGGCAGCCCCGCGUACCUGGUCAAGACCCACCUCCAAGCCCAGACCGUGUCGGCCAUGGCCGUGGGCCACCAGCACAACCAUGAGAGCAUCUCCGGUGCUUUCAAGAGCAUCUACCAGCAGCACGGGGUGGUGGGUCUGUGGCGGGGGGUGACGGGGGCCGUGCCCCGCGUGGCCGUGGGCUCGGCCGUGCAGCUCGCCACCUUCGCCUCCGCCAAGGACUGGGUUUGUGAGCGCCAGUGGUUCAGGAAGGGCAGCUGGGCGGCCGUGCUGGCGGGGGGCAUGGUGAGCGGUGUGGCUGUGGCGGUGACAAUGACACCUUUUGACGUGAUCAGCACCCGUCUCUACAACCAGCCGGUGGACGCCGAUGGCACGGGCAAGCUCUACCGAGGUUUUUUGGAUUGUAUUCUGCAAAUCUCCAGCAAAGAGGGGCUGCUGGGCUUGUACAAGGGCAUCGGCGCCGUCUACCUCCGCCUCGGCCCCCACACCGUCCUCAGCCUCUUCUUCUGGGACAAGCUCAGGAACAUGGUUCAGCACUAGCAGCCCCCAGGGCUGCAGGACAGACUUCUGCCACCACCAACACCGAUGUUAAUAAAGAGUUGAAGCUCAUCUCUGGCCGGGCCUUUAGCUGCCCUGGAUUGGCCCAAUAAUGAUUUACCAGCCGGGGCGGGGGUGGAGGGGCGCUCCC